UACGUAGGGUGCAAGCGUUGUCCGGAAUUAUUGGGCGUAAAGAGCUCGUAGGCGGUUUGUCGCGCCUGCUGUGAAAGUUCUGGGCUCAACCCAGGAACUGCAGUGGGUACGGGCAGGCUAGAGUGCGGUAGAGGAGACUGGAAUUCCUGGUGUAGCGGUGGAAUGCGCAGAUAUCAGGAGGAACGCCAGUCGCGAAGGAGGGUCGCACGGCCGCAACUGACGCUGAGGAGCGAAAGCGUGGGGAGCGAACAGG
rnacentral:rRNA from 1 species